rnacentral:lncRNA from 1 species
UUGAGGCCGGCCGCUUGGUGGCGCCUGUGGCCGCAGGGAUUUGACUGGGCCUUCUCUAGCUUUCCCCGGUUUGCUGCACUUGACGCUGCAGGGCGGGCGGGGUAAAGAAGGGAGCGAGCCCUUCUCAAGCUUGGAAAGUUUCCAGACUGCUGGGCCAGCCUCCUCCCCAGAGGGAAACUGAGGUCCGAUUGAGGUUUCUCCAAGACCGCCCACUCCUGCUCCUGUCCCCAAACCCCUUUCUGCCUAGGGUUCCUGGAAGCCAAGGAAACAGAACGAACUGUUCCCUGGGUGGGCGAGCCACUGCAGAGUACAAAGCUUUCAGGCCGCCUGCCUCAUUAGCACUAAUGGCUGCUCCCUUCCGCCCUGUGUCGUCAGGACUGUCUAUGCCUGGUCUCAUCAGCACAAGGCUGGGCCAGAGGGAGCCCUGAAUUCAUGCAGAGGAGUUUUUCUACCUUCCAUCUGCUUCUGCAUAUCAUCUUGUCUACUUAAUGCCCCUCCUUCCGGAUUUAUAGAACAGUAUGCAUAAUAUGACCCCAACUGCAUUCCAAAAAAUAGAUGUAGAUGUAAGCUUAGAGAUGCAAAGAAACUUUUUGAGAGAAUUCACUAUGCUUCUCGCGGGUGGUGACACAGUUCAAGGAGGUUCCAUGGGGUGUAAUGUUUAUCUUUCUCUUUUGUCCUUCUGAUCAUUGAAAUGAUGCUUUGUGUGUGUGAACAUGUAUUACUUUUAUAAUUAAAAUAGAAAAAUUAAUUUGAAUGGGACAAAUGCUCGAAGUCAAAGUCACCUGUUAUAACUGCUGUCACUAACAGGGCAACUGUUUGAAAAUGCUGCAGAAACAUGAGAAAUGUUCAUGAAGUGACCCUGUGGAGGCUUCCGGUCACAGGAUCAUGUGAGCGCCACGAUCACCCCAGGGGUGGAGCAGAUGCUAAGUGUUCACCACACCCAAUUCUCUUCCUGGACACACAGGAAGAUGACAUUUCCAGUGACAUGCCCCACCUCUAGGCCCUAGUCUUUUUUUUAUUUAAAGGUCUGAGUCUUGUUCUGUCACCCAGGCUGGAGUGCAGUGCUGUGAUCAUGACUCACUGCAGCCUCAACCUCCUGUGCUCAAACAAUCCUCCCACCUCAGCCUCCCUAAUAGCUGAUGUCAUAUAGGCAUGAGCCAGUGUGCCUGGCUCAGGCCCUACCCUUAAAAGCAUCCCACCUGAUUCACCAGCCCCCUUCUCUCUCUCAGUAAACUUGGAAACCACGCAUUCCAGAUGGUAUAAUUUACAGCAUGAUGGAAAAAGCCAGCUCUCCAUGGGAAGCUGGCCAGUCUUCAUUGGAGUACAUUUUUAUUGCAUGAAGCCAAUGAGACUUGAUAUUGUUUAACUCUGUGGUUUCCAAAGUGCGGUCCUUUUGAAGUAUCCAUAAAGUCUACACUAGGUUCACGGUAAUAUUAAGAUGUUAUUUGUCAGCUGGGCACGGUGGCUCACGCCUAUAAUCUCAGCACUUUGGGAGGCCAAGGCAAAUGGAUAAUGAGGUCAGG